rnacentral:rRNA from 1 species
UUAAGCGACUAAGCGUACACGGUGGAUGCCCUGGCAGUCAGAGGCGAUGAAGGACGUGCUAAUCUGCGAAAAGCGUCGGUAAGGUGAUAUGAACCGUUAUAACCGGCGAUGUCCGAAUGGGGAAACCCAGUGCAAUUCGUUGCACUAUCGUUAACUGAAUACAUAGGUUAACGAGGCGAACCGGGGGAACUGAAACAUCUAAGUACCCCGAGGAAAAGAAAUCAACCGAGAUUCCCCCAGUAGCGGCGAGCGAACGGGGAGCAGCCCAGAGUCUGAAUCAGCUUGUGUGUUAGUGGAACGGUCUGGAAAGUCCGACGGUACAGGGUGAUAGUCCCGUACACCAAAAUGCACAGGUUGUGAACUCGAAGAGUAGGGCGGGACACGUGGUAUCCUGUCUGAAUAUGGGGGGACCAUCCUCCAAGGCUAAAUACUCCUGACUGACCGAUAGUGAACCAGUACCGUGAGGGAAAGGCGAAAAGAACCCCGGCGAGGGGAGUGAAAAAGAACCUGAAACCGUGUACGUACAAGCAGUGGGAGCACCUUCGGGUGUGACUGCGUACCUUUUGUAUAAUGGGUCAGCGACUUAUAUUCUGUAGCAAGGUUAACCGUAUAGGGGAGCCGCAGGGAAACCGAGUCUUAACUGGGCGUUAAGUUGCAGGGUAUAGACCCGAAACCCGGUGAUCUAGCCAUGGGCAGGUUGAAGGUUGGGUAACACUAACUGGAGGACCGAACCGACUAAUGUUGAAAAAUUAGCGGAUGACUUGUGGCUGGGGGUGAAAGGCCAAUCAAACCGGGAGAUAGCUGGUUCUCCCCGAAAGCUAUUUAGGUAGCGCCUCGUGAACUCAUCUUCGGGGGUAGAGCACUGUUUCGGCUAGGGGGUCAUCCCGACUUACCAACCCGAUGCAAACUACGAAUACCGAAGAAUGUUAUCACGGGAGACACACGGCGGGUGCUAACGUCCGUCGUGAAGAGGGAAACAACCCAGACCGCCAGCUAAGGUCCCAAAGUCAUGGUUAAGUGGGAAACGAUGUGGGAAGGCACAGACAGCCAGGAUGUUGGCUUAGAAGCAGCCAUCAUUUAAAGAAAGCGUAAUAGCUCACUGGUCGAGUCGGCCUGCGCGGAAGAUGUAACGGGGCUAAACCAUGCACCGAAGCUGCGGCAGCGACACUAUGUGUUGUUGGGUAGGGGAGCGUUCUGUAAGCCUGCGAAGGUGUGCUGUGAGGCAUGCUGGAGGUAUCAGAAGUGCGAAUGCUGACAUAAGUAACGAUAAAGCGGGUGAAAAGCCCGCUCGCCGGAAGACCAAGGGUUCCUGUCCAACGUUAAUCGGGGCAGGGUGAGUCGACCCCUAAGGCGAGGCCGAAAGGCGUAGUCGAUGGGAAACAGGUUAAUAUUCCUGUACUUGGUGUUACUGCGAAGGGGGGACGGAGAAGGCUAUGUUAGCCGGGCGACGGUUGUCCCGGUUUAAGCAUGUAGGCUGGUUGUCCAGGCAAAUCCGGAUAAUCAAGGCUGAGGUGUGAUGACGAGGCACUACGGUGCUGAAGUAACAAAUGCCCUGCUUCCAGGAAAAGCCUCUAAGCAUCAGGUAACAUUAAAUCGUACCCCAAACCGACACAGGUGGUCAGGUAGAGAAUACCAAGGCGCUUGAGAGAACUCGGGUGAAGGAACUAGGCAAAAUGGUGCCGUAACUUCGGGAGAAGGCACGCUGGUGUGUAGGUGAAGUCCCUGCGGAUGGAGCUGAGACCAGUCGAAGAUACCAGCUGGCUGCAACUGUUUAUUAAAAACACAGCACUGUGCAAACACGAAAGUGGACGUAUACGGUGUGACGCCUGCCCGGUGCCGGAAGGUUAAUUGAUGGGGUUAUCCGUAAGGAGAAGCUCUUGAUCGAAGCCCCGGUAAACGGCGGCCGUAACUAUAACGGUCCUAAGGUAGCGAAAUUCCUUGUCGGGUAAGUUCCGACCUGCACGAAUGGCGUAAUGAUGGCCAGGCUGUCUCCACCCGAGACUCAGUGAAAUUGAACUCGCUGUGAAGAUGCAGUGUACCCGCGGCAAGACGGAAAGACCCCGUGAACCUUUACUAUAGCUUGACACUGAACAUUGAGCCUUGAUGUGUAGGAUAGGUGGGAGGCUUUGAAGCGUGGACGCCAGUCUGCGUGGAGCCAACCUUGAAAUACCACCCUUUAAUGUUUGAUGUUCUAACGUUGGCCCCUUACCGGGGUUGCGGACAGUGUCUGGUGGGUAGUUUGACUGGGGCGGUCUCCUCCCAAAGCGUAACGGAGGAGCACGAAGGUUAGCUAAUCCUGGUCGGACAUCAGGAGGUUAGUGCAAUGGCAUAAGCUAGCUUGACUGCGAGCGUGACGGCGCGAGCAGGUGCGAAAGCAGGUCAUAGUGAUCCGGUGGUUCUGAAUGGAAGGGCCAUCGCUCAACGGAUAAAAGGUACUCCGGGGAUAACAGGCUGAUACCGCCCAAGAGUUCAUAUCGACGGCGGUGUUUGGCACCUCGAUGUCGGCUCAUCACAUCCUGGGGCUGAAGUAGGUCCCAAGGGUAUGGCUGUUCGCCAUUUAAAGUGGUACGCGAGCUGGGUUUAGAACGUCGUGAGACAGUUCGGUCCCUAUCUGCCGUGGGCGCUGGAGAAUUGAGGGGGGCUGCUCCUAGUACGAGAGGACCGGAGUGGACGCAUCACUGGUGUUCGGGUUGUCAUGCCAAUGGCACUGCCCGGUAGCUAAAUGCGGAAGAGAUAAGUGCUGAAAGCAUCUAAGCACGAAACUUGCCCCGAGAUGAGUUCUCCCUGAGACUNCACUAUCGUUAACUGAAUACA